rnacentral:rRNA from 1 species
GAUUCUGGCUCAGGAUGAACGCUGGCGGCGUGCCUAACACAUGCAAGUCGAACGGGGUGUCUGAUCUUCGGACUGGACACUUAGUGGCGGACGGGUGAGUAACGCGUGGGUAACCUGCCUCAUACAGGGGGAUAGCAGUUGGAAACGACUGAUAAUACCGCAUAAGCGCACAGUACCGCAUGGUACAGUGUGAAAAACUCCGGUGGUAUGGGAUGGACCCGCGUCUGAUUAGCUUGUUGGCGGGGUAACGGCCCACCAAGGCGACGAUCAGUAGCCGGCCUGAGAGGGUGAACGGCCACAUGGGACUGAGACACGGCCCAAACUCCUACGGGAGGCAGCAGGUGGGGAAUAUUGCACAAUGGGGAAACCCUGAUGCCAGCGACGCCGCGUGAAGGAUGAAGUAUUUCGGUAUGUAAACUUCUAUCAGCAGGGAAGAUGAUGACGGUACCUGACUAAGAAGCCCCGGCUAACUACGUGCCAGCCGCGGC